UUUUGCCCUUAAUUUCCUAUAUGAAAUUAAGGGCAAAAAAGAAAAUAAGGAUGAAACGAAUUCCCUGUAAUAUUUGAUGCAGACAGUACAGCACAUAAGACAGCUCCCCCUCACCAGACAGUUCUCAAACUUCCUGAUGCUGGCUCGUUAAGAAGGUAAGAAACAACUAUGACAGAACCAAAACUUCCCCCUGUUGAACACAAAUUGCUGUAUGACUUUCUUGUAUAUGAGUGCGCCUGAGAAUCUGUAUAUGCUGAGGAAUUACUAGUUCGUGCAAUCAAAUCCAUGGCAAAUGGAAAGCCAGAUUAUGAGAACCAGAAGUAACAAGAUUCCGAGAACAACCAACUUAAUCUUCAUGUUCUGAUACCACAUUUUCCGCCGGAUCUGUGUCCCCUGUUUCUUGUAUGCUUGGGCCUGAUCACGUAAAUUCUCAGUUUUGUCAGCAAGAGUCGUUAUGGUCUCACCUCUAUCAAUUACCUUGUCAAUAUUCCCU
rnacentral:misc_RNA from 1 species